rnacentral:rRNA from 1 species
AUUGAACGCUGGCGGAAUGCUUUACACAUGCAAGUCGAACGGUAGAGGGGGGCAACCCCUUGAGAGUGGCGAACGGGUGAGUAAUAAUAAUCGGGAAACGUGCCCCAGUCGUGGGGGAUAACGUAGCGAAAGUUACGCUAAUACCGCAUACGAUCUAAGGACGAAAGCGGGGGAUCGCAAGACCUCGCGCGAUUGGAGCGGCCGAUAUCAGAUUAGGUAGUUGGUGGGGUAAAGGCUCACCAAGCCAACGAUCUGUAGCUGGUCUGAGAGGACGACCAGCCACACUGGAACUGAGACACGGUCCAGACUCCUACGGGAGGCAGCAGUGGGGAAUUUUGGACAAUGGGCGCAAGCCUGAUCCAGCAAUGCCGCGUGCAGGAUGAAGGCCUUC